UACCAGCACCCCGAGUGGUCGGGACGAUUAUUGGGCCUAAAGCAUCCGUAGCCGGUCCUACAAGUCUUCCGUUAAAUCCACCUGCUUAACAGAUGGGCUGCGGAAGAUACUAUAGGGCUAGGAGGCGGGAGAGGCAAGCGGUACUCAGUGGGUAGGGGUAAAAUCCUCUGAUCCAUUGAAGACCACCAGUGGCGAAGGCGGCUUGCCAGAACGCGCUCGACGGUGAGGGACGAAAGCUGGGGGAGCAAACCGG
rnacentral:rRNA from 1 species